CCGGGAGGUCGCAAGACCCCUACAAACCACCGUGAACCUAUAUUUUCGUCUUAUGCCUUGGCGGGACUGCCCCCGGAACUCGUUUCCAGGGGAGCGCGCCGGCUCGCCAGGGCUCUUAUCAACUAUAAAUUUUUACGUCUUUUCUGAGUACAAAACUCCAAAGCGAGAGAAUAA
rnacentral:misc_RNA from 1 species